rnacentral:rRNA from 1 species
UACUAGAGUAGCACUCGCAUAUCAAUAAGCGGAGGAAAAGAAACUAACAAGGAUUCCCCUAGUAACGGCGAGUGAAGCGGGAAGAGCUCAAAUUUGAAAUCUUAAAGGGUUUCCCUUUACGAAUUGUAGUUUAAAGAAGUGUUUUCUGUUGAGGUUUUGGUAAAAGUUCUUUGGAAUAGGACAUCAUAGAGGGUGAGAAUCCCGUAUUUGACCUUUACUUUCAACUUUGUGAUACACUUUCAAAGAGUCGGAUUGUUUGGGAAUGCAGUCCAAAAUGGGUGGUAAAUUUCAUCUAAAGCUAAAUAUUGGCGAGAGACCGAUAGCGAACAAGUACCGUGAGGGAAAGAUGAAAAGAGCUUUGAAAAGAGAGUUAAACAGUACGUGAAAUUGUCAAAAGGGAAGCGUUUGACACCAGUGUUGUUUUUCUGAAAAUCAAUUAAAGAACUGUUUAUGCUAAGUUGUUUAGACUUUAUCAGCUAUCUGUUUAGUUUUGAGCUUUUCUUUAAUGCACUUUUCAGUUAACAAGUCAACAUCAAUUUCUUUUGCUGUAAAAAAGCUUGAGGAAGGUGGCUUGAGAUUCGUCUUAAGUGUUUAUAGCCUCUUGCCUAUGCAGUCGGAGAGAUUGAGGUCUGCAGCGUAGAUCCUUCGGGGCUAAAUGCAUUUGUGCUAAGUUAUAGGCAUUUUCAUAGACAACUUGUUGACUAUGAUUUGUCUUGUAGCUUACUCGCUUAUGUUAUUUUACCUACGCUUAGGAUGUUGAUCUCUCACAGUCGAGC